GUAGUCUCGCACAGAUGCAUAUCAAUAAGCGGAGGAAAAGAAACUAACAAGGAUUCCCCUAGUAACGGCGAGUGAAGCGGGAAGAGCUCAAAUUUGAAAUCUUAAAGGGUUUCCCUUUACGAAUUGUAGUUUAAAGAAGUGUUUUCUGUUGAGGUUUUGGUAAAAGUUCUUUGGAAUAGGACAUCAUAGAGGGUGAGAAUCCCGUAUUUGACCUUUACUUUCAACUUUGUGAUACACUUUCAAAGAGUCGGAUUGUUUGGGAAUGCAGUCCAAAAUGGGUGGUAAAUUUCAUCUAAAGCUAAAUAUUGGCGAGAGACCGAUAGCGAACAAGUACCGUGAGGGAAAGAUGAAAAGAACUUUGAAAAGAGAGUUAAACAGUACGUGAAAUUGUCAAAAGGGAAGCGUUUGACACCAGUGUUGUUUUUCUGAAAAUCAAUUAAAGAACUGUUUAUGCUAAGCUGUUUAGACUUUAUCAGCUAUCUGUUUAGUUUUGAGCUUUUCUUUAAUGCACUUUUCAGUUAACAAGUCAACAUCAAUUUCUUUUGCUGUAAAAAAGCUUGAGGAAGGUGGCUUGAGAUUCGUCUUAAGUGUUUAUAGCCUCUUGCCUAUGCAGUCGGAGAGAUUGAGGUCUGCAGCGUAGAUCCUUCGGGGCUAAAUGCAUUUGUGCUAAGUUAUAGCAUUUAUAGGACAACUUGUUGACUAUGAUUUGUCUUGUAGCUUACUCGCUUAUGUUAUUUUACCUACGCUUAGGAUGUUGACAGCAGUAUAGACUU
rnacentral:rRNA from 1 species